rnacentral:rRNA from 1 species
CCUACGGGUGGCAGCAGUGAGGAAUAUUGGUCAAUGGGCGGAAGCCUGAACCAGCCAAGUAGCGUGCGGGAUGAAGGCCCUACGGGUCGUAAACUGCUUUUGCACGGGGAUAACACCCUCCACUUGUGGCGGUCUGCAGGUACCGUGCGAAUAAGGGCAGGCUAAUUCCGUGCCAGCAGCCGCGGUAAUACGGAAGGCCCGAGCGGUAUCCGGAUUCAUUGGGCUUAAAGGGUGCGUAGGCGGGCGUUCAAGUCAGCUGUAAAAUCGCGCGGCUCAACCGCGCCCCGCAGUUGAAACUGGACGCCUUGAGUUCACAACAGGCAGGCGGGAAUCGUGGGGUAGCGGUGAAAUGCAUAGAUAUCACGAGGAACCCCGAUUGGGAAGGCAGGCUGACGGGGUGCGACUGACGCUGAGGCUAGAAGGUGCGGGUAUCAAACAGGAAUAGGUACCCUAGUAGUC